ACAUUAAGUAGCCUCCUUCCCACCACCAGAGUGACCUUGUGCACUUCCUAUGUGCAUACAGAGACCUUGUGUGGGUACAAGUACCACAUAAUCUUGCCACAUAAACAAUAGGCAGCCAUAUUUACUGACCAUGUGAUUUCAGAGACAAGUGUUUUCAUACUCAUAGCAAUUUAGUUCUUCAAGUUUCAUCACUUUAUUCACUCUUUGUGGACCAUGAAAGACCCCAUUUUGAUUGUUAUCUCAAUCUACUCAAUCUACUAUCAGCAAUCACCACCAUGUUGUCAAGUGGCUUCAUUGUGUUUUGUGUGUGGUUCCUGGAUUGAUUGUGAAUACCAGUCACUUGGGAGUCCUUUUCUCAUAAGUUUGAGAACUAGUAGUCCGAAACUCCUCUGGGCACAAGUGAGCCCCGAGGCAGC